rnacentral:rRNA from 1 species
AGAGUUUGAUCAUGGCUCAGGACGAACGCUGGCGGCGUGCCUAACACAUGCAAGUUGAGCGGAAUUAUUAGGAGCUUGCUUUUAAUAAUUUAGCGGCGAACGGGUGAGUAACACGUAGAUAAUCUGUCCUAUACUGGGGGAUAGCCCGACGAAAGUUGGAUUAAUACCGCAUAUAGCUAUUGUGCUGCAUGGCAUAGUAGUGAAAGAUUUAUUGGUGUAGGAGGAGUCUGCGGCGCAUUAGCUAGUAGGUGAGGUAAAGGCUUACCUAGGCGACGAUGCGUAGCCGGUCUGAGAGGAUGAACGGCCACAAUGGAACUGAGACACGGUCCAUACUCCUACGGGAGGCAGCAGUGGGGAAUAUUGCACAAUGGGGGAAACCCUGAUGCAGCAACGCCGCGUGAGUGAAGAAGGUUUUCGGAUUGUAAAGCUCUGUUAGCAGGGAAGAGGAAGGACGGUACCUGCAGAGGAAGCCACGGCUAACUACGUGCCAGCAGCCGCGGUAAUACGUAGGUGGCAAGCGUUGUUCGGAAUAACUGGGCGUAAAGGAUGCGUAGGCGGUUAAAUAAGUUAUAUGUUAAAUAUAUAGGCUUAACCUGUAGAAGGCAUAUAAAACUGUUUAACUAGAGUGCAGGAGAGGUAAGUGGAAUUCCUAGUGUAGCGGUGAAAUGCGUAGAGAUUAGGAAGAACACCAGUGGCGAAGGCGACUUACUGGACUGUAACUGACGCUGAGGCAUGAGAGCAUGGGGAGCAAACAGGAUUAGAUACCCUGGUAGUCC